CGUUAGUAUUUUAUAUAUAUAUAUAGACAGCGAACUGCUACUGCGCACGUAUUGGAAUGCACUAUUCACUAACGUUACAGUCUAACAUCUAUUUAAUCAAAGCGGUGCAUUUUAACACCCUUUUCUUUUUUAAAAAAAAUAAAACAUUGUUGCAUCUCUUCCUUCCUCUCUUCCUACUUAUACGAUCUGACCUAACUCUUUGCUCUCUUCCUUCCUAAAAUUUCAAUACCCAACUGGAAAAAGCUCACCAGCUUCUUCCAUCCUCUCUUCCUUAUACGCUCCAACCAACAGCAGAAAGCCGCCAACUCUUAAGGCCAUCAGCUCCCCACCACUUUUAUUUCUUUGUCGCUGCACACUCACCCCCAUUUUUCCAUUCUACAACUUUUCCUCUACAGAUUGGAGACAAGCAACAUGUUUGAUGAGACUGAAACAUUGUACACUCCACAAAUUGUAGAGCAAAAAAGCCAAAGGUCAAACAAGAAUUUCAAACAAUUGAAUAGGCUUUCCAAAUUUACAAUGCAUAUGCAUGAUAAUGUAGAGUUAGUGCAAGAAUGAGUACUAAUAAGAGAAAAAAAGGAACAAAUGAGCUAAUAUGGAAACAGUUUGUGUGUUUUAAGGAAGGAGAGACGAAUGAACAUUAUCAAAGAAAGAAAAAUAUACAGUCCAAAGAUUAUGCGAAAGAAACUGA